AUAAAGUUUGACUUUUUCUUUCUUCUUUAUAAUUUUGUUGAAAUUGUAUGAGAACUUUGGUAAGUAAAGACAAAAUGUUUUAUACAUAAAAAGGUUAUAAAAAUUAUUAUUUAUAAUAUAUAAAGUCUCAGCAUAAAAUAUUAAAUUAUCUAUAAAAGUAGAAAUUAGCAAUAAGAAGAGAUAACUGAUAAAAUAUUGUGCCAGCAGUCGCGGUUAAACAUUAAGAGUGAGUAAAGAUUACUUGUAUAGAUUAAUUAAAUAAAUUUAUUAGUUAGUGUAAGUUAAGGAAAUCUAAGGUGAAAUUAAGGUUUUUAUAAAUUUUAUAUAAUAAAAAAUUGAAGUUAAAAAGGUUUAGGUUUAAACUAGGAUUAGAUACCCUAUUAUACUAAAAAUUAUUAUAAAAGUGGAUUACUAUGAGAUAUGUUCUUUAAAUUUGAAGAGUUUGGCGGUAAUUUAGUCUUGUUAGAGGAACCUGUAUUUAGUUGAUCGAUAAACCACGUAAAAAUUUUACUUUCUUUUAUAAAUAGUAGUUUAUAUACCGUCAUUAGUAGAUAAUUUAUAAAAAAAUUUUUAUAAUUCAUGUAAUAUGAGUUAAAUUAGAUCAAGGUGUAGCUUAUAAGAAAGUUAAAUAUGGGUUACAAUAAAUUUUAUUUAUGAUGGAUUUAUUGAAGAAUAAAAAUAAUGAAAUAGGAUUUAAUUGUAUUUUAAGUUUAAUAUGUUUGGAAGAUAUAAGAACUAAAUUAUGUACAUAUUGCCCGUCGCUUUCAUUUUAAGGAUGAAAUAAGUCGUAACAUAGUAGGUUUAUUGGAAAAUGAACCUAGAUUAAU
rnacentral:ncRNA from 1 species